rnacentral:rRNA from 1 species
UGAGUACGAGCUGCUACGGCAGCGAAGUGGGUGACGUCAAGCUUCCAAGAAAAGCCCUAUACCCGCUAAGGCAUGAUGGCCUGUACCCGAAACCGACACAGGUGGGGUGGUAGAGAAUACCGAGGGGCGCGAGGUAACUCUCUCUAAGGAACUCGGCAAAAUGGCCCCGUAACUUCGGGAGAAGGGGUGCCACCGCAAGGUGGUCGCAGUGAAGAGGCCCAGGCGACUGUUUACCAAAAACACAGGUCUCCGCUAAGUCGCAAGACGAUGUAUGGGGGCUGACGCCUGCCCAGUGCCGGAAGGUUAAGGAAGUUGGUCAGCGAAAGCGAAGCUAGCGACUGAAGCCCCGGUGAACGGCGGCCGUAACCAUAACGGUCCUAAGGUAGCGAAAUUCCUUGUCGGGUAAGUUCCGACCCGCACGAAAGGCGUAACGAUCUGGGCGCUGUCUCGGAGAGAGGCUCGGCGAAAUAGAAUUGUCUGUGAAGAUGCGGACUACGUGCACCCGGACAGAAAGACCCUAUGAAGCUUUACUGUAGCUUGGUAUUGUGCCCGGGCUCUGAAUGCGCAGGAUAGGUGGGAGGCUUUGAUCCAUGGCUUGCGGGUCAUGGUGAGCCAACGGUGAGAUACCACUCUUUCAGAGCUAGGGUUCUAACGGUCACCCGUUAUCCGGGGACCGGACAGUAUCUGGUGGGCAGUUUGACUGGGGCGGUCGCCUCCUAAAAGGUAACGGAGGCGCGCAAAGGUUUGCUCAGGCUGGUUGGAAAUCAGCCGACGAGUGUAAAAGCAGAAGCAAGCUUGACUGUGAGACCAACAAGUCGAACAGGGACGAAAGUCGGCUUUAGUGAUCCGACGGUUCUGAGUGGAAGGGCCGUCGCUCAACGGAUAAAAGUUACUCUAAGGAUAACAGGCUGAUCUCCCCCAAGAGUUCACAUCGACGGGGAGGUUUGGCACCUCGAUGUCGGCUCAUCGCAACCCGGGGCUGAAGUCGGUCCCAAGGGUUGGGCUGUUCGCCCAUUAAAGCGGUACGCGAGCUGGGUUCAGAACGUCGUGAGACAGUUCGGUCCAUAUCCGGUGCAUGCGCAGGAAUAUUGAGAGGAGUUCUCCCUAGUACGAGAGGACCGGGAGGAACGCACCUCUGGUGUACCAGUUAUUGUGCCAACGGUAAACGCUGGGUAGCCAUGUGCGGAGAGGAUAACCGCUGAAAGCAUCUAAGUGGGAAGCCCACCUCAAGAUGAGUAUUCCCAUGGCAUAAGCCAGUAAGGUCACGGGAAGAACACCCGUUGAUAGGCUCUACGUGGAAGCGCAGUAAUGCGUGAAGCGGAGGAGUACUAAUAGACCGAGGGCUUGAC